GGGGAUGUAGCUCAGUGACAGAGCCCAUGCCACGCUAGCAUGUGUGAGACCCUGGGUUCAAUCCUCAGUAUCUUAA
rnacentral:tRNA from 1 species